rnacentral:rRNA from 1 species
GACGAACGCUGGCGGCGUGCCUAAUACAUGCAAGUAGAACGCACAGUUUAUACCGUAGCUUGCUACACCAUAGACUGUGAGUUGCGAACGGGUGAGUAACGCGUAGGUAACCUGCCUGGUAGCGGGGGAUAACUAUUGGAAACGAUAGCUAAUACCGCAUAAUAUUAAUUAUUGCAUGAUAAUUAAUUGAAAGGUGCAAUUGCACCACUACCAGAUGGACCUGCGUUGUAUUAGCUAGUAGGUGAGGUAACGGCUCACCUAGGCGACGAUACAUAGCCGACCUGGGAAGGGGGACGGCCACACUGGGACUGAGACACGGCCCAGACUCCUACGGGAGGCAGCAGUAGGGGAUCUUCGGCAAUGGGCGAAAGGCUGACCGGGCAACGCCGCGGGAGGGAAGAAGGGUUUCGGAUCGUAAAGCUCUGUUGUAAGAGAAGAACGGGUGUGAGAGUGGAAAGUUCACACUGUGACGGUAUCUUACCAGAAAGGGACGGCUAACUACGUG